GCGUGGUUUUGUGGUCAAGACACAAGGCUGAUAGCCCGGGGGGAGUCGCAGGUUCGAGCCCGGU
rnacentral:tRNA from 11 species